rnacentral:tRNA from 1 species
GGAUGGGUGGCCGAGCGGUUUAAGGCACCGGUCUUGAAAACCGGCGUGCGUGAGAACGUACCGUGGGUUCGAAUCCCACCCCAUCCGCCA